CCUGCCGGGACCAUUAACCCAUUGGCUGCUGGCACCACCCCCACCUCCGCCUCCCGCGCACCUGCAUCUGUCAAUCCGUGGAAGUUCCCUGCUUUCAGUCCCUGAAUAGCAAAGGCUAUGCCUUGGCCAUCGCUGCUGGAAGAGACACGGCUCAGUGUUGGAUGAAUGUCCUGACUGUUUUCGCCCCAGAGAAUGAAAGGCGCCAACCGUCCUGGGAAAGGUGAGAAGUCAGCGUGGACAAGCUGGGGUGACCAUCACUGCAGAGCUACAGGCCAGCGUCCUCUUCGUGUCCUAGGGCUCGUUUUGUUCCUGGUCCUGCAGGACAGCCUGGGGUCACCGUCACUGCGGAGCUACAGGCCAGCGUCCUCUUCGUGUCCUAGGGCUCGUUUUGUCCCUGGUCCUGCAGGACAGCCUGGGGUCACCGUCACUGCGGAGCUACAGGCCAGCGUCCUCUUCGUGUCCUAGGGCUCGUUUUGUCCCUGGUCCUGCAGGACAGCAUGGCAGCGAUUGACCGAUUGACCAUUAGGACCUCUAUUUUUAAAUAAGGAGGGAGCUACCCGGCGUGGGGCUCCCGGGGCCCACACACUCACGGCACGUCCUUGAGUGUGUGG
rnacentral:lncRNA from 1 species